rnacentral:pre_miRNA from 15 species
CGGGGGUGUCAAAGUUGAGGUAGGUGCGAGAAAUGACGGCAUCCAUAUAGUAAUCGUUCAUUGUCUCUCAGCUGCUUCAUCUGUGACAUGGCUACG